CAAGAGGGAUGAGUUUUGUCACAAGACCAAACACUUCCUCUAAUCUGAAGGAAUGAUCAUUCAGAACAUGUCAUUCAAGGUGAAAGGGAAGACCGGUGUCACUCAUAGUUGCUGGUGUAAUUAUCUUUAUUUAUAUGGGCUUUUUAUAAUUUUCUACUUGAAUUAAGGAAUUUGAGGAAAAAUAAAAUAGCUAACACCCACGCUAAGUAUUCCUUUCCAUGUGUGAGUAUGUUCCCUAGAUAUUUUUCUUGGAAAAGAUAUCAAGUUCAAUAAAAAGAAUGCUGAGAGGGCAGAAUGUGAUCUGGGUUGUAAAUUAACAGCUCAUACUAGUAAAUGAUGAAGAUCAUUCAUUAAUGAGCUAACUACAAUGGGCCAAAAAAAUGUGUUUUACUUCUUCCAAGUCAUUUGAUGAAAAUAUUACAGCCUAAUUAAGUGUAGCCUGAGAAAGAAUAUUCUCUUAAAUUUUUUUACUUGAUUCUUCAAUAACUGAAGUGCACUAGUUUCCAGGGGUUAUAAAAUCCGUCCUUCAUGCUCUUGCUAUUAACAGUUUUGUACUUGCAACUACAAGUUACUAAAAAUAUUGAAGGAAUUAGCAUAGGGUUACCACAGGCGCUCAGAGCUGAAACCCUAUGCUCAGAAAUUGUUGUCGGUUUUGAAAUCGCCCCGCAUCGCUGAGUCAGUUGUUCAUGUGCAUGUCUGCUGGGAGCAAUGAUCAUAUUGUGCCAGAUUUAACAGGUGUUGUCCCCAUAUUUCCAAAUGGGGAGGGACGCUCUCUAAAAAUAUCUUUCUUCCUUAUUCACACAGGCACCAUGUUAUGCUCAGGAUGAAUGCAUUACUACCAACGGUAGGGAGUAGAAGUACUUGCUUGUCUUUUGCACCAUCCCUUGCUCCAAAAACAGGCUCUUUCUCACGAUUUCUGCUCAAGCCAUUACCACCUUCUCAGAUGACCUCCCUAUCAUUGACAGCAAUCUGAAUCAUGGUUAAAAGUGACAUGGCAAGAAAAUGUCUCGCUUCGGAUGGGGAUGCUUCAGGCUACACCUCAACUCUCUGCAGAUCAAGUUCAC